CGCUGCCUAAGGAGGAAGCGGAGGGCGCCAUGUUUGGUGCGGGCGGAAAAAAAAGUGGGCGGAGGGGGAAAUGGAGCGCCGCACCUACGAGACCCGGUCCCCCAAGAGGCCUUGCGCGAAGCCCCGCCAGGGGUUCCCUAGGCAACCGCUGCUUAGAGAGACACCAAAGACGGCUGCAGUGUGGCGGUUGGGGUCCUGUGGGCUCCUGAGGACUCCGCUGUGCCGAGAUAUUUACUGAGCACCUACUACGAGAGCAUAAGAAAUCGCCUAUUGUUGGUUCCCAGGAGUUGGGCCCCCUGUAAACCACACAACCCACCUGGAGGGUUUCUGAACGGCUAAAACGGUGGGAGAACUUGUAAAAAUUCUAUUGAAUUAUAGUAUAAACCCAUAAUAUAAUAUGUUAUUAGAGAGUGUAUUACACAACAAUGAGAUGUUAGAAACCAUAUUGUAAAUUUAAA